rnacentral:rRNA from 1 species
AGAGUUUGAUCAUGGCUCAGAUUGAACGCUGGCGGCAUCCUUACACAUGCAAGUCGAACGCGAAAGGGGGCAACCCCGAGUAGAGUGGCGAACGGGUGAGCAAUACAUCGGAACGUGUCCUGUAGCGGGGGACAACACAUCGAAAGAUGUGCUAAUACCGCAUACGAUCUACGGAUGAAAGUGGGGGACCGCAAGGCCCCACACUAUAGGAGCGGCCGAUGCCGGAUUAGCUUGUUGGCGGGGUAAAAGCCCACCAAGGCGACGAUCCGUAGCUGGUUUGAGAGAACGACCAGCCACACUGGGACUGAGACACGGCCCAGACUCCUACGGGAGGCAGCAGUGGGGAAUUUUGGACAAUGGGCGCAAGCCUGAUCCAGCCAUGCCGCGUGAGUGAAGAAGGCCUUCGGGUUGUAAAGCUCUUUCGGCCGGGACGAAAUGGCGCGGGGUAAUAUCCCGCGUCGAUGACGGUACCGGAAGAAGAAGGACCGGCUAACUACGUGCCAGCAGCCGCGGUAAUACGUAGGGUCCAAGCGUUAAUCGGAAUUACUGGGCGUAAAGCGUGUGCAGGCGGUUUCGAAAGUCCGAUGUGAAAUCCCCGGGCUUAACCUGGGAACUGCGUUGGAAACUACGAGGCUAGAGUGCGGCAGAGGGGGGUGGAAUUCCAGGUGUAGCAGUGAAAUGCGUAGAGAUCUGGAGGAACACCGAUGGCGAAGGCAGCCCCCUGGGUUAGCACUGACGCUCAUACACGAAAGCGUGGGGAGCAAACAGGAUUAGAUACCCNNGUAGUCC